rnacentral:lncRNA from 1 species
AUCAGAAGUAGUCAAAUGAUCAUAUCAUCGUGUGGUGUUAUUGAGAGUAGCAAAGAACAUGAAUUUAGUUGUAAAUUCGAUGAUGCUCAGUAGAAGAAAAUUCUUCAAAUAUUGAAGGAGUUCUUUCGUAUCUUUGAAAAUGUGUCUUCAGUGUGGCAAUAAUUCUUUGAGAAAGAAAAAGGAAAAAAAAAGAAGGUGCAAAGAGUUGUACUUAGGCUAGUGAGUCCAAACUGACAAAAGAGUCUAAGAUUAACCUAGUCAGGCAG